rnacentral:sRNA from 2 species
AGUGAACUCCGUUUGAAGUGGAAAUCCUUUUGAUUUUUUCCUUUAAAAAAGCAAAAGAUUGCAACGUAAAGCGGGAACUAUU